AUUCUGAAGAAGUCGGAUCGUAUGCUUGGUCUCACUCCGCCUCGAUCGAUCUCGCUCCCUCCGUGACACCCACAGCCACACCACCCGAUUCACCUAAUAUGGAGAAUCCGAAUCGUUUCCAUGUUUCCAGCCCUAAUCCUCCAAUCUAUCUCGCCCUUCCUACCAUCCUCCGCCCCGCGGCCGCACGGCCGACUGCUGCAUACCUCCGUGAUUCCAACGGCGUCCAUUACCUCUGCUUGCAGGCUGAGACAGGCAAUUGACACAGCGCAAAGUCGUUAACAUCCAUCGACUUAUCAUGCAUGCUGCUCUGGAAGAGGAAGUUAUGAACCUGCAGAAGUCCAAAGUAACAUUUGCUGAUGAUGUUAUCAAUGCAGAGAUUGCAGCCCUGAAAACCAUGAACACAGACCAAUUGCUCAAUCUUUUUUGCUUCUUCACCAACCGUUCGAAUGGUAAGUUACAUUGCUUGUUGUGCAUGUUCAAUUUCUUUCUAGAAUUGCUUUUUUAUGUAGCCAAAUCACAGUUCAUCCGAUAUAAUUAAUUUCCUUGGUCUUGGUAUUUUGACAUGAAAACAAUUGUGUAAUGAUAUGUCUGAAAGAACAUGGAGAAGGGAACUCCAGCUUCAAGCAGCUCCAGUAGAUCCAAAGCCAGUGGUUGAUGGGAAAGGUUUGGAGGCCAUUCUCAGUGGACUUGGGUAGGUAUGGGAUCCAAUAAUGACGUGAACAAAACUUAAGCCAGCCCUCGGAAAAGCUUAAUCGCUGAGUCUUGAAGGAUGUUGCAGUUCACCUUGCAGCUUAAUGUGGACUCCAUUUUUCAAGGUGUAGCCCAUGAUUUUUUUUUUCUUUGUUCAUUGUAUAGGUUCAAGAUGGACAUUCCAAAUGUGUAAAGCUCAGUUGUACGACCUAUCUAGUUGAGUAGCAGCUCACAAUUGUCUGCUGCCCAUUACAUUUGUUAUAAGCUUUCAACUAAUCUAAGUGUACUCUCCAUGGUGA